rnacentral:rRNA from 1 species
AGAGUUUGAUCAUGGCUCAGGAUGAAGCUGGCGGCGUGCCUAACACAUGCAAGUCGAGCGAUUCUCUUCGGAGAAGAGCGGCGGACGGAUGAGUAACGCGUGGGUAACCUGCCCUGUACACACGGAUAACAUACCGAAAGGUAUGCUAAUACGGGAUAAUGUAUUUUUGUCGCAUGGCAAAAGUAUCAAAGCUCCGGCGGUACAGGAUGGACCCGCGUCUGAUUAGCUAGUUGGAGAGGUAAUGGCUCACCAAGGCAACGAUCAGUAGCCGACCUGAGAGGGUGAUCGGCCACAUUGGAACUGAGACACGGUCCAAACUCCUACGGGAGGCAGCAGUGGGGAAUAUUGCACAAUGGGCGAAAGCCUGAUGCAGCAACGCCGCGUGAGCGAUGAAGGCCUUCGGGUCGUAAAGCUCUGUCCUCAAGGAAGAUAAUGACGGUACUUGAGGAGGAAGCCCCGGCUAACUACGUGCCAGCAGCCGCGGUAAUACGUAGGGGGCUAGCGUUAUCCGGAAUUACUGGGCGUAAAGGGUGCGUAGGUGGUUUCUUAAGUCAGAGGUGAAAGGCUACGGCUCAACCGUAGUAAGCCUUUGAAACUGAGAAACUUGAGUGCAGGAGAGGAGAGUAGAAUUCCUAGUGUAGCGGUGAAAUGCGUAGAUAUUAGGAGGAAUACCAGUUGCGAAGGCGGCUCUCUGGACUGUAACUGACACUGAGGCACGAAAGCGUGGGGAGCAAACAGGAUUAGAUACCCUGGUAGUCCACGCCGUAAACGAUGAGUACUAGGUGUCGGGGGUUACCCCCCUCGGUGCCGCAGCUAACGCAUUAAGUACUCCGCCUGGGAAGUACGCUCGCAAGAGUGAAACUCAAAUGAAUUGACGG